AUUAUUGAGGGUUGACACAUCAUAAGUGAUUGAAAUAAAAUAAGCCUUCUUAUAACCCAUCUAUUAGCAAGUUCACAGCCUUGGAGUUUAGCUUCCCACGCUCAUUUUGUUCUUUCCUCUCUAUGUGCAGCGAAAUAUUAGGAGAAGAAAGGGCAAGUUUUAGUCACUUGAAAUACUUAGAAUGAGGACAAAUGAUCUGCAUGAAAGAUGUAGAGUUAUGUCUUGAGAGUAAAUUCCAAGUGGAAGUUCCUUGAAAGAAGCCUUAGUUUGUGAGAAAACCCUUCCCCAUUGCUGCGACCUAAUGUUGUUAAAAAGAGAGUACAAGGACUGUUUGUGUUAUCUAAUGGUUGGACUAUGACUCUAGCUCCUUGGAAGGUGUUUUAAGAGUGUAAUCAAACGAAGUAGGUGGACGAACAACUUGGAGACAACCAAGUGUACGGCGUAUUAAAUAACAAGUUAGCAGCAGGAAAGAGGUGAUAGGUAUCGCAGCAGUUGACGAUCGUUCUCGGGGCAAGAGGCCCGUGGUUGAUGAGUAGAUCUGAGCAUAGAUGUUGCCUGCUUAUUUUGGGAGUCUGUUGUAUAUAUUGUGACACUGUGAUGUAGUAUGUUUAUGUAGGUUGAUGUAGGAUGUUGUAGUUAUGACACAUAGCCACCUUUUAAUGUGAUAUAUAUAGAGUUAUGGAUCAUGCAUGUAUAUUACUGUAUAUGAUAUGGAAUUGUUGUAUAUUGUGGGUUGUAAGAGCCCCAAGGAAUUGUUGGUCCUUGUGUGUGCCACCCACUGAUUAUUAGGUACUAUUUGAGGUCAUAGACCACUUGUACAA